rnacentral:rRNA from 1 species
GGCUCAGGACGAACGCUGGCGGCGUGCUUAAUACAUGCAAGUCGAGCGGACCAAUUAGAAAGCUUGCUUUUUAAUUGGUUAGCGGCGGACGGGUGAGUAACACGUGGGUAACCUGCCCUAUAGACCGGGAUAACUCGCGGAAACGCGUGCUAAUACCGGAUAACACACCGAAGCGCAUGCUUCGGGGUUGAAAGAUGGUUCUGCUAUCACUAUAGGAUGGGCCCGCGGCGCAUUAGCUAGUUGGUGGGGUAACGGCCUACCAAGGCGACGAUGCGUAGCCGACCUGAGAGGGUGAUCGGCCACACUGGGACUGAGACACGGCCCAGACUCCUACGGGAGGCAGCAGUAGGGAAUCUUCCACAAUGGGCGAAAGCCUGAUGGAGCAACGCCGCGUGAGCGAAGAAGGUCUUCGGAUCGUAAAGCUCUGUUGUAAGGGAAGAACAAGCGCAGCAGUCACUGGCUGCGCCCUGACGGUACCUUACUAGAAAGCCACGGCUAACUACGUGCCAGCAGCCGCGGUAAUAC